UUAAAUAGAGGGCAAGAAGUGUACCUAGC
rnacentral:piRNA from 1 species